rnacentral:rRNA from 1 species
GAUGAACGCUGACAGAAUGCUUAACACAUGCAAGUCUACCAAGAAUCACUUCGGUGAGGAAUGGUGGCGGACGGGUGAGUAACGCGUAAAUAAUCUGCCCUUUAGACUGGGAUAUCCUUUGGAAACGAAGGUUAAUACCGGAUAUGAUGAGAUGGACACAUGUUCAACUUAUGAAAGCUAAAUGCACUAGAGGCGGAGUUUGCGUCCCAUUAGCUAGUUGGUGAGGUAAAGGCUCACCAAGGCCACGAUGGGUAGCCGGCCUGAGAGGGUGAACGGCCACAAGGGAACUGAGACACGGUCCUUACUCCUACGGGAGGCAGCAGUGGGGAAUAUUGGACAAUGGACCAAAAGUCUGAUCCAGCAAUUCUGUGUGCACGAUGAAGGUCUUCGGAUUGUAAAGUGCUUUCAGUAGGGAAGAAAAAAAUGACGGUACCUACAGAAGAAGCGACGGCUAAAUAUGUGCCAGCAGCCGCCGUAA